CAACCCCAGUGCACCGAAUCUCUAGGAGGAAGGAGGCUGAGCACAGCAGAGAAGAAAGGUGUGGACCAGGUCCUUCAGCAGCCCUGAGAACUGAAAAGAGAGGAAGGCAGACCCUUCAUGAUGGAGACGGACAAGGCUUAUUCCCUGACUGUGUGCAUCUCCUGGAAAUAACUGCAGGAAAGCCAGAGGGAGCCUGUGUCUCGGAACGGGCCAUUCUGUAGCCCCCAGGGGGCCUCCACC
rnacentral:lncRNA from 1 species